AUUGUCCUCAAAAAAUACUAUUUCUUACUGUUUCUUCUUUAUUUCUUAAGGGAUCAACCUCAUACUUCAAAUAUAUUUACGUUAUCAUCAUCCACAUCUUAUGUGACAAGGUUUAUAACUCUAGCACCAAUAUUGCAAGAAUUAUCUCCCCAUAAACUUAGAUUUAUUUACUAGAAAAAUGUUAUUUUUUAUUUUAACUUUUUUAUUUUUAAAGGUAUCUACCUCAAACUUCAAAUACUUAUUCCUUAUCAUCAAUUACAUUUUAUGUGACAAUGUUCAUAACUCUUGAAGCAAUAUUUACAGAUUUAUAUCUCUUUGAACUUAGGAUUUUCUUUAAGAAAUAUAAUAACUUCUAUAUUUUUUAAGGUAUCUACUUCAAACUUCAAAUAUAUAUUUCUUAUCAUUACACAAAUGUUCUGUGGCAAGGUCCAUAACUCUAGCAUGACUAUUUCUAGAAUUAUUCCCCUUGAUCUUGGAAUUUAUGUUAACAAAUGUUAUUUUUUUACUAUAACUUAAUACAUAAUUAUUCAUAAUUAAUUUUUCUUUCAUAGAUUUGUCCUCCUUACUGCGUCCAGUAUUUUAUUAGUCGAGCUUCGCUGUCUCCUGUGACAGCUCUUGUUUUUAUUUUAACAAUUUCAAUAUUUUUUAAUAAUCAUUUCAUAAUGUUUGUUUUUUAAUUGUUGAGCUAUUUAAAAUUGUUUUUGUGUCAGUUUAACUGAAAAAAUGAAUAGUCCUUUGACUUGAGACAGAUGUCUUAAAACAUGUCAUCCAAUUGGUUAAGUUUUAGAUGAAUUGUCAAAUUUGACCAAUGGUUUUGUUUGUUUUAUUGGGACACAUUAUCUCUUUAUAUCUCUCUGUAUCUUGGUUUCCUGUUGUGAAACACUUAUUUCAUUUCAUCAUAUAAGCAUUACAACUUAUCAGAAUUUGCUAUACCAAAAAAUGUCCUGCUGUAUACAUGGCCUUAUUAAUGGUAUUUACUUUUGUUCCAUUAAAAAUUAUAAAUGGUUAUUUAUAUACUCUUUAAGUUAGAAAAUGUAAUUCAUAUCGCUACAUAUAUUUUUGAGCAUAUGUUAUUUUAUAUUAUUCCAUUAUUACUCAUACUUGAUUUUUCUGAUAAAAAACAAAUCAAAAGAACAAAAUUAUUAAGUUUUAAUUUCUUUCAAAGGAAAUGUUUUAAGAUGUUUUGUUGUCAAUAAAUUUGAUCAAGAAAUUCAUUUAAUGUGCCAUUCUUAUUCAGUUAAUCCAAAAUGUUCACAUUUGUGAGGAUAUUUUUUUAAAUGUAGACUGCUUGUUUAUCAUUGUUCAAUAUUUUUUGUUUCCCUUACUAUUUUCAUGUAUUACUUGACAAAUCAACUUUGUGAAAAAACAUCUAUCCUGAGAUUAUAUCUUAUAUUUUAUUUGUGUAUAUAAGUUAUCUAUAGUAUUUUUUUUUCAUAAAUCAUUUCAUAGUCAAUAUAUUUUGUAUUUUAUGUAAUCUACCAGUUAUCUGUCACUUUAAUCUUUUAAUUUUAAACAAAAUUUAUGAUUAGAUUACAUUAAAUAUGGGCUUUAAAAGCCACACUGCACAGUGUGAAAAUUAUGAGUCACAUUUUUAUCAUCAUAAAUACUUGGCAUUUUUUAUACCAAACAUGACAUUAUUGCGAAUAUGAGCUUCUGUCGUAUACCGUAUUCCUCUUAAUAUAAGCCACCUGCCUUUUACAAGCUCCCUCAUUCUUUAUUUUCAUUUUGUAGCACCCAGUGUCAGCCUUAAAUGCAGGAACAAAUAGUAAUGUUGUAAGUUAUCCAGGAAAGCCAGUUAGGUGAACAGAAUGUCAUGAUGUGACUAAAUAUAUGAGCCGCGUCACAACAAAACCAACAUAGUGCCUUUGCGACCAGCAUGGAUCCAGACCAGCCUGCGCAUCAGCGCAGUCUGAUCAGGAUCCAUGCUGUUCGCUAUCAUUUUCUCUACUUGUAACAGAGUUGGUAAACAAACAGCAUGGAUCCUGAUCAGACUGUGUGGAUGCGCAGGCUGGUCUGGAUUCAUGCUGGUCGCAAACCCAUUAUGUUGGUUUUGUCAUGAUAUGACUAAAUAUAUGUCAAAGUUAAAACAAACAAGCAAACAAUCAGUCAAUGCCACAUCUUCUUUAUCUAUCUACACAUGUCACUAUGUGGUGUUUGUUUUGCAAAUAACUGUAUAAGAUUAGAGGAUUAAGUUAAUAGUUUCAAAUAAAAAAGUUUGGUCUCAAAUAAAAGCACCCUGUUUGUGUUAUGCAAUUGGCCUAAGGGGGGUAUUAUUAGAAGAAAUAUGGUAUACACUAUAUUAUUAUUAUUCAUAAUAUUACAAUCCAUUGACAGGGAUAGACAUGAAAUUGUGUGCCAAACUGAAUAAAAAUACUAGAUACUAAUUUUAUAAUUGUAUUGAUAUUUACAAAAAUACUGUGAUUAUUCCAUUUAUACAUCUGGCCUACUCUUAAUGACUUUCCAGGAAAUUUAAUUAUCAUUUUAUAUGUCAUUCAUUAUCAUUUCUGUUAAUAACUUGAAAGUAUGUUCUGUACAACCUUGUUAAUAUUGUAUAUGAACAAAAAUAGGUGUAGUCAUUCUGUUUAAUGAAUAAAAUAGUUUUAUUGACCUGUUUAUUUGCUCACACUUGUCUACACAGAAUUUUUUACUGUAGCUGGCGGAAAAUGCAUGAACAAAGUUGAGCAGUAAUUUCAUAGAAUAGUUUACAGAAAAUUAAAGUCCCUUAUAGUUUUACCAAAGAUAAUUCUUUUGCUAGAUUAUCAAAGUUUUUAAUGUAAAUAAAUAAUUCACCCAAUAGUAGUGUAAAAUGCGAAGUUGGCAGGGAUCACAUUACCUAACAAUGGUUUAUUAUAAUGGAAACUGAAGAUGUAAAAUAAGUAAUUACUAUAUAGUAAAUAUUUACAUUUACUAUAGCAGUACAGUUAUUACUAUUAUUGUAAUUUUGUUACAGUCCUUACUUUACAUUUGUUUUGUUUUCUGUAGAAUGUUCUCCCAAAUUUAAAUCUGGUAAGGGGAGAUCCCAUUAUAAAUAGACUUGAUUUGGUCAUGUGGUUGAUUCAAAUAAUAGGGGAACACACAUGUUAUUAACCCUUUCAAUGAAGAGUUAGAUCAAGAAUUAAAUCACUUUUUGAAUGAAGAAUUAGAUCACUUGUUGAAUCAAGAAUUAAAUCAUUUUUUUGAAUCAAGAAUUAGAUCACACUUUAACCCUUGUCAUGCUAAUUAUCUUAUAUUGAUUUGUAUGUCAUUUAAUCUAGACAAAUCUGUUCAUCAUUUAAAGGGGAGAUAAUUUCAAACUUUGAACUGACUGAAUAGCAAAUAGUGCAGACCAUGAUUAUAAUUAUGUCACAGAUGUGCAGACUGAUCUUGGUCUGCACUGGUGCCAUGGGUAAAACAGCAAGGUAAGGGUUAGAUAAGUAAGUAUAUAUGGACAUUGUAUUUAAGAUAUAUAGAAUUGUAUACACUGUAUUAACUAUUUUGUAAUCAAUUUUGGUUUUUAUUUAUAUUUUUUGCACAUUUGUUAUAUUGUUGGUAAUUAUCUGUUAUUUAUAAGUAAUAAAUAGGAAAAA